rnacentral:rRNA from 1 species
GAUGAACGUUAGCUACAGGCUUAACACAUGCAAGUCGAGGGGCAGCAUGGUCUUAGCUUGCUAAGGCCGAUGGCGACCGGCGCACGGGUGAGUAACACGUAUCCAACCUGCCGUCUACUCUUGGACAGCCUUCUGAAAGGAAGAUUAAUACAAGAUGGCAUCAUGAGUCCGCAUGUUCACAUGAUUAAAGGUAUUCCGGUAGACGAUGGGGAUGCGUUCCGUUAGAUAGUAGGCGGGGUAACGGCCCACCUAGUCUUCGAUGGAUAGGGGUUCUGAGAGGAAGGUCCCCCACAUUGGAACUGAGACACGGUCCAAACUCCUACGGGAGGCAGCAGUGAGGAAUAUUGGUCAAUGGGCGAGAGUCUGAACCAGCCAAGUAGCGUGAAGGAUGACUGCCCUAUGGGUUGUAAACUUCUUUUAUAGAGGAAUAAAGUCGGGUAUGCAUACCCGUUUGCAUGUACUUUAUGAAUAAGGAUCGGCUAACUCCGUGCCAGCAGCCGCGGUAAUACGGAGGAUCCGAGCGUUAUCCGGAUUUAUUGGGUUUAAAGGGAGCGUAGAUGGAUGUUUAAGUCAGUUGUGAAAGUUUGCGGCUCAACCGUAAAAUUGCAGUUGAUACUGGAUAUCUUGAGUGCAGUUGAGGCAGGCGGAAUUCGUGGUGUAGCGGUGAAAUGCUUAGAUAUCACGAAGAACUCCGAUUGCGGAGGCAGCCUGCUAAGCUGCAACUGACAUUGAGGCUCGAAAGUGUGGGUAUCAAACAGGAUUAGAUACCCUGGUAGUCCACACGGUAAACGAUGAAUACUCGCUGUUUGCGAUAUACAGCAAGCGGCCAAGCGAAAGCGUUAAGUAUUCCACCUGGGGAGUACGCCGGCAACGGUGAAACUCAAAGGAAUUGACGGGGGCCCGCACAAGCGGAGGAACAUGUGGUUUAAUUCGAUGAUACGCGAGGAACCUUACCCGGGGUUAAAUUGCAGAGAAAUUACGGUGAAAGCCGUAAGCCGCAAGGCAUCUGUGAAGGUGCUGCAUGGUUGUCGUCAGCUCGUGCCGUGAGGUGUCGGCUUAAGUGCCAUAACGAGCGCAACCCUUGUUGUCAGUUACUAACAGGUUCUGCUGAGGACUCUGACAAGACUGCCAUCGUAAGAUGUGAGGAAGGUGGGGAAUGACGUCAAAUCAGCACGGCCCUUACGUCCGGGGCUACACACGUGUUACAAUGGGGGGUACAGAGGGCCGCUACCACGCGAGUGGAUGCCAAUCCCAAAAACCUCUCUCAGUUCGGACUGGAGUCUGCAACCCGACUCCACGAAGCUGGAUUCGCUAGUAAUCGCGCAUCAGCCACGGCGCGGUGAAUACGUUCCCGGGCCUUGUACACACCGCCCGUCAAGCCGUGGGAGCCGGGGGUACCUGAAGUGCGUAACCGCGAGGAGCGCCCUAGGGUAAAACUGGUGACUGGGGCUAAGUC